rnacentral:rRNA from 1 species
AGUGAACGCUGGCGGUAGGCCUAACACAUGCAAGUCGAACGGAAGAAGAGUACGUGCUCGCUCUUACGGCUGCCGAGUGGUGGACGGUUGCAAGAAACAUCCGAGUCAACUUUUUAUUACGGGCUAAAAUAGGGAAUAAUACGCCAAUACCGCAUACGACCUACGGGUGAAAGCAUCGGAUCUUCCGCCCUUACGCGAUUGAAUGUGCCGAGGUCGGAUUAGCUAGUUGGUGGGGUAAAGGCCCACCAAGGCGACGAUCCGUAGCUGGUCUGAGAGGAUGAUCAGCCACACUGGAACUGAGACACGGUCCAGACUCCUACGGGAGGCAGCAGUGGGGAAUAUUGGACAAUGGGCGAAAGCCUGAUCCAGCCAUGCCGCGUGUGUGAAGAAGGUCUUCGGAUUGUAAAGCACUUUUAGUUGGGAGGAAGGGCAGUAAGUUAAUACCUUGCUGUUCUGACGUUACCAAAAGAAUAAGCACCGGCUAACUUCGUG